AUGGCGGACGGAGAGAACAGUCUCGGAACGGCUUGUUCAGGCGCCUCCGGUAUGGACGGGCCUGCCGCGAAAAGGCCCAAAUUCAUCCCGGCGACGAGUUACGGAUUCCAAGGCGCCGAGGCGGACCAAUUCUCGUGCAUCUCCGCGGCCGCCGAGAGCUGGGAGGCGGCGGGGAAUUGUGCGCAGCCAGCGGAGAAGGAAGCGGAGCCGGUGAUGGCGGUAGAGCAGGCCCCGGCGGCGCUAGGCGGAGACAACAAUGGACUGGGACUGCUGGCUUCCGAGCCGCACAGACCAGCCGGGAAACGAAGCGACAGCGCUGUCUAUGGCGCAACCGAGGAGAGCGCAGAUUUCUUCGGUCUUGAUGGUCUGUCCUCCAACGGUCUGGCUGUCACGCCGGAGCACCUCAAUGAGGAAGAUGACAGAUCAUCACAUGCCAGCUCCAGCGACUGGACUCCUCAACCCCAAAUAGGUUCCUACAGUUUCAUCCAGCAACACAUCAGAGAGACCGACCCCAGGACCAUACUGAGGGAUUUGUUGCCUGAGACUAUACUACCACCAGAUUUAGAUGAUAUGACUCUGUGGCAAAUCAUCAUCAACAUAUCAGAACCUCCAAAAAGAAAGAAGCGCAAGGACAUUAACACGCUGGAGGAUGUGGUCCGACUGCUUCAUGAGAGUAAAAGGAUCCUCGUGCUGACUGGGGCUGGGGUUUCGGUUUCAUGUGGAAUACCAGAUUUCCGAUCCAGGGAUGGGAUUUAUGCGCGGCUCGCUGUAGAUUUUCCUGAUCUUCCAGAUCCUCAAUCUAUGUUUGAUAUCGAAUACUUCAGACGAGACCCUAGACCCUUUUUCAAGUUUGCUAAGGAGAUCUACCCCGGACAGUUCCAACCCUCACCCUGCCACAAAUUUAUAUCUAUGCUGGAUAAACAAGGGAAGCUGCUGCGCAACUACACACAGAACAUCGACACGCUAGAACAAGUGGCAGGAGUUCAGCGGAUCAUCCAGUGUCACGGGUCUUUUGCGACUGCGUCUUGUCUUGUCUGUAAACACAAAGUGGAUUGUGAAGCGAUAAGGGAAGACAUCUUCAACCAGGUCGUCCCUCACUGUCCACAGUGUCCAGAUAUUCCUCUGGCCAUCAUGAAGCCCGACAUCGUGUUUUUUGGAGAGAAUCUCCCUGAAAUGUUCCACAGAGCCAUGAAGCAGGAUAAAGAUGAAGUUGACCUCUUGAUUGUCAUCGGUUCCUCGCUUAAAGUCCGACCAGUUGCCCUUAUCCCAAACUCCAUUCCUCAUGAAGUGCCUCAGGUCCUGAUCAACAGGGAACAGCUGCCUCAUCUGAACUUUGACGUGGAGCUGCUGGGAGACUGCGACGUCAUCAUCAACGAGCUGUGCCACCGAUUGGGCGGAGACUUUGAGCAGCUCCGGUACAACACUGUAAGACUCACCGAGAUCACGGAGAAGCCGCCCCGGUUAGCGGAGCAGCCGCCCGGCGACGCCUUCCCCGUCUGCAGCGACGCGGCUCAGGAGGAGCAGAAGCAGCGCAGCACGGACUCCAUCUCGACGCCAUCGGAGGAGACGGACGGCCUGAAUGUCGCGGACGGCGAGGACCAGAAUGUCAGACCGCUCGAGCUCUGCCCCAACGCCCAGUGUCCAAGCGAGGCAACGGCAGAGUCGCCGCUUUCACCAGCAGAGGGCGCCCCAAAAGAGGAGGCAGCUCUUCCGAGGAGCCAUCCCUCCAACCUGGAGUUUCGAAGAAGAUACUGGAUGAGUCGAAUCAGCAGAAGCCCAAUCAGCAAGCGUCUGGAGGCGGGCCAGUAUCUGUUUCAAGCCCCAAACCAGUACAUCUUCCACGGGGCCGAGGUGUACUCCGACUCCGAGGACGAGACGUCGAGCUCCUGCGGGAGCGACAGCGAGGAGUCGGACUGCAGCGGCGAGGGAGCGGAGGACGACAGCGAGCCGGAGGACGCGGCCACACCAGCAGCCGAGGGAGAAAUGUGCCUCAGAGACACGAUAGCACACAGUUCAGCCAGCGAGGCCACUCCGAGUGUGCAGACAGACAAUAAGCUGGAACAGACUCAGAGCACGGCACACCUUUAAAAUGUACAAUACCCUGUCAAGAUAGCACUAAUUGUCUUUUUUAUAUAUAUAUAUAUCUAUAUUAUAUAUAUAUAUAUAUAUAUAUAUAUGUUUCAUAUAUUUUUGACUCAUCAUCCUCACUAUUAUUUUUUUAUUUUUUUCAUAAAUUGGAAUUGCGUGACAAUGUGUGAACAUGCAGCAGGUUUCUUUUGCCCCUUUUCUUUCUGUGGCCUCUCGCUGUCUGAACCUGCAUACUGUUGACUGCUUGGUAACCUGAAUAUUGCAGUUCAUUUUUUCCUCUAGUUCGUCUCUAAAUUCCGGUGUCUAGUUCCUGCAGUCUCACCCUCAGCGCUUAAAGAUCAGCCACCACCAGCGCGGCGCUCGAUUCAGCUUUAAUUCCCAAAUCUCUCAUGAAUCGCAGGUCCACGCUGUGAUGGGACCUGGGAGGUGGUUUAUUUUCCCAUCAGCAACAUGUAAAUAUGUUAGCCUGCUGCCUGACGAAUAGUGGGUACUGUCAGUUUCAUACACGUUCAUCCAUCUUCAGAUGUUUUACUUGAAAGCGUUUUCUAACUCGCAAUACAGAAAGUUGAGCUCUGCCCUCCUUGCCAGGGCGACCGUGAAAGCAAAACAGAACAAUACUCUUUACGUUUAGACCAAAGAACACUUGAUCGACGCGCUCCUAUGUUGUCAUAAGCUUUGUAUGUUUAACCUGUCAUUCAAAUGGAAAAAAAAACAAAACAAAAAUACUAUUGACAAGGUGUUCCUUUCUGACAUGUGGCAGCUACUUUCUAUGGUCAAGCCUCUUAUUUUUAUACUCUGAUGUGAGACAUACUCAUCAAAGGGUAGAUGAUAGUUUUUAUCUGUAUAAAGUUAUACUGAGUUGUAAUAUUAAGCCUUAGGGAUAUAUUUGCAUUGGAAAUGGCACUUUUUUCUGCUUCAUAUAAAACCGGUUUUGUUGCCCGUGUAACUUUUUCUAGAGGGUGAAAGGAGUGCCGCCUGUAAAGAUAAAGUGUUGGUAUACAGAGACAUAUUUGAGCCAGUUUGUGUCUACACCAACGUAUUUCACAUGUCAUUUAGAAGGUAAUGUUUUGUUUACGGUUUAAGGAAAUGAGAAAUUUUUACAAUAAUACAGUUAUCUCUCCUGGGGUUCUCAGUAAAA